UACCUAGGUGGCAAGCGUUGUCCGGAAUUAUUGGGCGUAAAGCGCGCGCAGGCGGUCCUUUAAGUCUGAUGUGAAAGCCCACGGCUCAACCGUGGAGGGUCAUUGGAAACUGGGGGACUUGAGUGCAGAAGAGGAAAGCGGAAUUCCACGUGUAGCGGUGAAAUGCGUAGAGAUGUGGAGGAACACCAGUGGCGAAGGCGGCUUUCUGGUCUGUAACUGACGCUGAGGCGCGAAAGCGUGGGGAGCAAACAGG
rnacentral:rRNA from 1 species